rnacentral:antisense_RNA from 1 species
GAUAGCCGAAGAUCACAGCGGGGUUCAGAGUCGGGUUGGUAAUGAUGCGGACAUCACCGCCACCGGGAGCCCAGGUGUCAUAGAGACCACCAAAGGCCAUUGCCUUGGCAACCAGCAGGAGCGCACCCAGACCCAGGAGGAUCAGGUGAAUGCCCAAGAUGGUGGUCAUCUUGUUCUUGUCCUUCCA